UAAGGUGGCCAUAGCGCGGGGGCUCCACCUCUUCCCAUUCCGAACAGAGAAGUUAAACCCCGCCACGCCGAUGGUACUGCGAAAGUGGGAGAGUAGGUAACCGCCCCCU
rfam:Parabacteroides sp. YL27, complete genome.